rnacentral:rRNA from 1 species
UACGGGGGGGGCAAGCGUUGUUCGGAAUUACUGGGCGUAAAGGGUUUGUAGGUGGCUCGCUAAGUCAGACGUGAAAUCCCUCAGCUUAACUGGGGAACUGCGUCUGAAACUGAUGAGCUUGAGUGCAGGAGAGGAACGCGGAAUUCCAGGUGUAGCGGUGAAAUGCGUAGAUAUGUGGAGGAAUACCGAUGGCGAAGGCAGCCUCCUGGGCCAACACUGACGCUCAUGCACGAAAGCGUGGGGAGCAAACAGG